rnacentral:rRNA from 1 species
GACGAACGCUGGCGGCGUGCCUAAUACAUGCAAGUCGAGCGAGUGGAUUAAGAGCUUGCUCUUAUGAAGUUAGCGGCGGACGGGUGAGUAACACGUGGGUAACCUGCCCAUAAGACUGGGAUAACUCCGGGAAACCGGGGCUAAUACCGGAUGACAUUUUGAACCGCAUGGUUCGAAAUUGAAAGGCGGCUUCGGCUGUCACUUAUGGAUGGACCCGCGUCGCAUUAGCUAGUUGGUGAGGUAACGGCUCACCAAGGCAACGACGCGUAGCCGACCUGAGAGGGUGAUCGGCCACACUGGGACUGAGACACGGCCCAGACUCCUACGGGAGGCAGCAGUAGGGAAUCUUCCGCAAUGGACGAAAGUCUGACGGAGCAACGCCGCGUGAGUGAUGAAGGCUUUCGGGUCGUAAAACUCUGUUGUUAGGGAAGAACAAGUGCUAGUUGAAUAAGCUGGCACCUUGACGGUACCUAACCAGAAAGCCACGGCUAACUACGUGCCAGCAGCCGCCGUAA